CCUGAACGCUGGCGGCGUGGCUAAGACAUGCAAGUCGCACGGACGUAGCAAUACGUUAGUGGCGAACGGGUGAGUAAUGAAUCGCUAAUGUGCCCCGGACUCUGGGAUAGCCAGCCGAAAGGCUGGGUAAUACCAGAUGAUAUGCAGCUGUCGCAUGACAGUUGCCUCAAAGGUCCGCCGGUCUGGGAGCAGGCGAUUUUGUAUCAGCUAGNGGUGAGGUAACGGCUCACCAAGGCGACGACGCAUAGCCGGACUGAGAGGUUGGCCGGCCACAUUGGGACUGAGACACUGCCCAGACUCCCUACGGGGGGCUGCAGUAACGAAUCUUCCGCAAUGUACGAAAGUAUGACGGAGCGACGCCGCGUGUA
rnacentral:rRNA from 1 species